rnacentral:misc_RNA from 1 species
GAUGAAGAACGUAGCGAAAUGCGAUACGUAAUGUGAAUUGCAGAAUUCAGUGAAUCAUCGUAUCUUUGAACGCAUAUUGCGCUCUCUGGUAUUCCGGAGAGCAUGCUUGUUUGAGUAUCAGUAAACACCUCAACUUCCAUAUCUUUUUUGAAAUGGGAGUUGGACUUGAGUGAUCCCAACGCUUUUCCUCACCGAAAAGUGGCGGGUUACUUGAAAUGCAGGUGCAGCUGGACUUUUCUCUGAGCUAUAAGCAUAUCUAUUUAGUCUGCCUAAAAAACAGAUUAUUACCUUUGCUGCAGCUAACAUAAAGGAGAUUAGUUCUUGUGCUGACUGAUGCAGGAUUCACAAAGACAGGCUUCGGCCGACUUUGUAAACUCGAUCUCAAAUCAAGUAAGACUACCCGCUGAACUUAAGCAUAUCAAUAAGCGGAGGA